rnacentral:tRNA from 1 species
GGAAAGUUAUCUCAAAUGGUACAGCACUCGCUUUGCAUGCGAGAGGAGGUGGGAUCAACACCCACAUACUCCA